UAGGGAAUAUUGGGCAAUGGAGGGAACUCUGACCCAGCCAUGCCGCGUGCAGGAUGAAGGCGUUAUGCGUUGUAAACUGCUUUUUAUAUAGGAAGAAAUAGUCCUUGCGAGGAAAGUUGACGGUACUAUAUGAAUAAGCACCGGCUAACUCCGUGCCAGCAGCCGCGGUAAUACGGAGGGUGCAAGCGUUGUCCGGAUUUAUUGGGUUUAAAGGGUGCGUAGGCGGUUUAUUAAGUCAGUGGUGAAAGACGGUCGCUCAACGAUUGCAGUGCCAUUGAUACUGGUAGACUUGAGUAUGAUUGAGGUAGCUGGAAUGGAUAGUGUAGCGGUGAAAUGCAUAGAUAUUAUCCAGAACACCAAUUGCGU
rnacentral:rRNA from 1 species